GCAGGCAAUGAUUUCUCAAUACAAUUUCUAUUGCGCCAAUCACAAUAUUCACUGUUACGUAACGAUGUCCAUAUUUGGUAACUUAUGAGCUUUCCUGUGGCUCAAUUGGAGCAUUGGAACACACUUGACUGAGAUCUGUGUCAAAGUUUACUUUCAGAAUUGCUCUCCAGUCUCAAUGCACCUGUCACAGUAAACAACCCAAAGUGAUUACCAAUGAAUAGUAGCUGGGAUAUUAAAAAUGUCACUACGAUUCUGCUCAUUAUUUUGCAUUGUAAAGGUGCAAACGCCCAGUCUACAAAGAAGAUUGCCAUCUUAGCUGGCACGGAUGUUACCUUAAACUGCUCUUUCAAGAAGCCUGAACAUGUACCGCUGAAGAAAAUCACGGUUGAGUGGGGGAUGAUGGUGGAUAAAGAGACCAUAAAGCACCUAGUGUAUACGUUCCAGAACGAGAGUGCCAAGGUGCAUCGUGAAGGGUCUCGAGUCGACCAAACGGGGUUGCUUCAGGGCAAUGCAUCCCUUCGUUUGUUCAACAUGACCGUGGCUGAUGAGGGACUCUACCGCUGCAGAGUGAUCAUCACUCCCAACACAUACAAAGUUUCCUCACAGCUGGAAGUAUCAGCCAGACCCUCAGUGUCCCUCCCAGAGACCGCCAUGGUGAUGGAGGGGGAGGAACGGACAUUGAUGUGUGACAUCACAGGAUUCUACCCAGAGAAUCUGGCCGUGACCUGGCUGAUCCAAAAUGGCUCCCGGGUGGCCCGCGAGAGCAUGGCUCGCGGGGCCAUCUCGCGUGAUGUGUGCACUGGAAUGGCUGUGCCCAAUCCAGACGGCACCUACAGUGUCAGCAGUCACAUCACUGUCCAGGCUUCAGCCGUAGGGAGCGGAGGAGCCAUGUACAUCUGUCACAUUGAACAUAGGUCCUACCCUGAUGGAAAAUACAGCAAAAGCAUAUUGUUGACUGUGCAAGUUCAUCCCAUUAUCUCUGACAUCAUCAAACCCACCAUCGUUUAUGCCAUGAAGCCGACCAACUUAAAAUGCACCAUUGAAAGAGUACGACUGAGAGAGUUCAAAGUGAAAUGGUACAAGAUAACAGCCAAUAGCGACUGUAACGCAGCUUCCAAUAGCCAAUCAAAGUCACUGUUGAGCCACAAGGACCUGAGAGACCAGGCUAACAUCCACUCUGAGAGCACGCAUCACGUGUCCACCCUGCCCAUCUGUCUGUCAGUUAAGGAGGACCAGGCUACGUACCAGUGUGUUGUGCUGUACAGAGGCAGGAUGAUCACCAAAGAGACCACUGUGAGUGUAAAAGUGACUCCAUCGUUCUUUCACAUCUCCAGCAUGCCUCAGAUCCCAGAGGUGAAGAGGUUGCUGGUGCUCUGCUGUCGGGUCGAGAGGUUCUACCCGGACAACCUCCGUCUCGAGUGGUCGAGAAAUGACGGGGAGCAGGUGAGGACAGCCACUAACUAUGGACCGUUCUCUGACCACGAGCGGAUGUACAGCAUGUGGAGUAAGAUCGAACUGACAAUUGCUCAGGAAGACGAGAAGGCGGUCUACACAUGCCGCUUGUAUCACUCCAGUUUCGCCGGGCCAGGAUACAAAGACGUUCUUUAUCAUAUUAACACACAAGGUACUCCUCCAAGCGUGAUGUUCAUCAAGUGUGAGCCACAACUCCCUCUGCUGGAUAAGGAGUGCACGCUCAACCUCUGUGUCAAAGACUUCUGUCCUGAACAAGUGUCUGUCACAUGGUUUAAGGACGGACAGACGGUCCCCGACAGCCAGUUCUUCAACUCCCCACCCAGCCUCAACAUCAAUGGCCUCUACUCUAUGUGGAGCUUCCUCAAACUGAGCAACACCUCGGAGGACUACGGCUCAGAGUUCAGGUGCCGGGUGGUCCACAGUGCCCAGAAGGAACCGGAGGAGAGGGUGUUCACACAUCAGAUCUCAAAGUCACCUAGUCAAGGGAAGUCAGACCUUUGAUCAAAUACUGUGUUUGCACUUUUGGGACUUUUCUAAUGGUUCCAUUACAAUAGGAAAGCUCAAUAAAGGACGGCUCAAGUAUUUGAAAUGAUUUCAAGUAGUAUUUGAACCCAGGUCUGGGAUGUAUAUAAGGAUAUUACCGCUAAAGUAUAUAGUAUACCUAAGAUUAUUUUUGUAAAUGAAUUUGAUGCAUUUACACCUGUUUUGUUAAUUCUGUUCACUUUAUCUUCUGAUAGAUUGUAAAUAUUGAACUGAAAAAGGUGCUUGCUCUGAACUGUCAUAGCAUACUAGAUAUGCUCAUGAGAUGUGGGGCCUAAACUAGGAAAAGUGUCAGUACUACACCUUUUAUAUUGAGGUAAGUUAAUCUAACAAACACAGGUUCGUAACCCUAUAUACUUACAUCCUGCAUACGGUAUGAAAAUGGCAGAUUGAUCACUAUAAACACUUCAAUUGGGGCGGCAGGUAGCUUAGUGGUUAGAGCAUUGGGUCAGUAACCAAAAGGGUGUUAAUCGAAUCACCGAGCUGACAAGGUAAAAAAAAAUCUGUCGUUCUGCCCCUGAACAAGGCAGUUAAACCCACUGUUCCUAGGCCGUCAUUGUAAAUAAGAAUUUGUUCUUAACUGACUUGCCUAGUUAAAUAAAGGUUAAAUAUUAUUAUUAUGAUUUUAAUAAUAAUACAAAUAUUAAUAAAUAUUUCUAAUAUAUUUUUUAAUAGUAACAUACUUUAAGUCAGAGUUCUGGGUCUUCAGUUUAUGUAUUAGGGACAGACAAAUUAAAUCAUCAAUCAGUACCUAGAUGGGUUUUAAAAUGGUAAAAAAAAGACAAGAAAACAAGAACUAAAUCAAAACAAACUGCCAAAGCAGCAGAUAUUCUUCCUGGGGUCCAGCAAAAUUAAUGCAGUUUAUACAAUUUUAAAAACUUUACAAUACAUUCAUAAUUUUCACAACACACUGUGCCCUCAGGCUCCUUCACCACAUAUCUACAAUACUGUAUAGUGUGUAUGUUAUUGUAUGUGUUUGUGCCAAUGUUUGUGUUGCUUCACAGACCCAGCUGUUCCAUAAGGUGUUUUUAAAAAAUCUAAUUUUACUGCAUUACAGUUACUUGAUGUGGAAUAGAGUUCCAUGUAGUCAUGGCUCUAAAAGUCUGUCCUGGACUUGGGGACUGUGAAGAGAACUCUUGUGGCAUGUCUUGUGGGGUAUGCAUGGGUGUCCGAGAUGUGUGCCAGUAGUUUAGACAGACAGCUCAGUGAAGUGGUUAUUUCCUUAAUUUACUUAAACAGUUUUUUCACUUUCUGUGUGUAACAUUAAUACCCACAGACAUGACUGCUCAAGGCAAGGGUUGCAAAACGACCAGUAAUUUAUUUAAUUAAAACAGGUAAUUUAUACUUGAAUGACUUAAAAAAAAAAUAUAUUAAUUUAAAAUUUGUCUUAAUCGGGCCUCCCCGGUGGCGCAGUGGUCUAGUGCGCCACCCGGCUGUGCCAUUAGAGACUCUGGGUUUGAGCCGCGCUGUGACCGAGAGGUCCAUGGGGCGACACACAAUUGGCCGAGCGUUGUCCGGUUUAGGGAGAGUUUGACCGGUAUCCUUGUCUCAUCGCGCACUAGCGACUCCUGUGGCGGGCCGGGCGCAGGGCACGCUGACCAGGUCGCUAGGUGUACGGUGUUUCUUCCGACACAUUGGUGCGGCUGGCUUCCGGGUGUUAAGAAGCAGUGCGGCUUGGUUGGGUUGUGUUUCGGGGGACGCAUUGUGACGGCCCUGUAUUUUUCUGAACCGUCUCAGUGCAGCUCCUUCCAAUAGGGCGCUUUCCCUUUAAUUCCCAAUUAAAUAGCCAGCAUCAGCUGCGCAAAAGUGGGGUUGUGAUAGAGACGUGAAUGAGGAUGUGGUCAACCCUCAGUUCUCGACGCUUCGCUAUUCCGUUAAACGUGUGUUUUGUAGCCUAAUAGAGUUUACCCAGGAUCGGAUCCACUCUUUGCGUCUCCGUUCUUCGUGGCCUUUCUCCGCUGGAGAUCUAUUGGUGGAUUGGAUUGUCUGACUGACCGACUACCUUUUAUUAUACGGUAUUUCAUUUGUUUUGAUGUCAUGUAUACGGUGAUGAUUUAUGUAGUUAGUUGUAGUUGAGGACUUAGUAAGAGUUGAUACGCUUUAAAGUUCUGUGGUAAAAUAAUUGUUAUAUUGAUUGUAUGAUUAAUACUGGGUUUACGCUCCACUUGAAUGAACGGACAAACAUUGCGUGACUAAGGUCACCGGAGUUCCCUGAACUCUUUUACCGGGCUGGACUCUUUUUAAGCCUGAGGUACAGGACAUUUCGAGAAGAACCAGAACUCAUUGUGAUAUAAUAUAUGUGUGUGUAAUCAUUGAUGUUGCUAAUACAACCCACGCUUUUGAAGUUCUUUCCAAUGUUUUAAGGGUUUAUGAAAAGUUUAUUUCCAUCCUGACUUUUGCACAAGUCCUUUUGUAUUGGUGUAGACUUGACGGACCAGAUGGGACUCAUUCCCUCCCAAACUAAAAGGAGAAACCAAUGUUUUCUCUGGUAGGCACAACCUACCUGGCACCCCUAUAAAUAAUAACCUCAAGUCAAAACCGUUACAGCAUGACUCUCGACCUUGGCUCUCCCGAGCCCAUACGGGAGUUGUAGCGAUGAGACAAGACAGUAACUACUAACAAUUGGAUACCACGAAAAAGGGGGUUCAAAAAUACAUUUAAAAAUUGUCUUAAUCUUUACAUGUUGUCCAUGAGUUUGUAGUGGAUAGACCAUAUGGUUCAAGGGAAAAUACCCUACCUAAUGAAAAUCCCGAAACCCUGAUAAUGUGUUACAGCGUUGUAAUUCUAUUUUUUAUUUUUAUAUUAACUUCUUUUUUAUAUAUUUUACAUGGACCUAAAAUCCUUGAAAGUUUAGACAUUUCUGGAUGUACAGUUGCCAGAAAAUGAGUCUUUCCAAUUGAUUCUAACACACUGAAUUCUGUCAGAUAAAUAUGAAUCCAUUCAUGUUAAGGCAUUGGGAGAGAAAUUAAACUUUGAAUGUUUUGAAAGUAGAACACUGAUUUACAGUAUAAAAUACUUGUUGCAAAUCUAAAAACACAGGUCCUACCACUCCCCUUUUGUUAAGUUAAUAUUUUAUCUUAAAAAUAAUAUAAAAUAUCUUGCACAGUUGCCCCUAUCAGCUGGAUUUUGUAGUGGCUUUUUCCCAGUAAGAAAACCAAAUGUCACUCAAACAGAAGGAGGAACUACCAAAAAGUCACCGACCACAACCAAAAUGAAACAAGUGGGAUUUUAGCAGUGGUGUUACGUACCUAAGUAAAAAUACUUUAAAGUACUACUGGGUUGUUUAAUAUAAGGAAUUUUAAAUUAUUUGUACUUUUACUUUUGAUACUGAAGUAUAUUUAAAACCAAAUAUUUUUAGACUUUUACUGAAGUAGUAUUUUACUGAGUGACUUUCACUUGAGUCAUUUUCUAUUAAGGUAUCUUUACUUUUACUUAAGUAUGACCAUUGGGUACUUUUCCACCACUAUUUUAGGAGGGGUUCUGAAAGACUCAUGGGGGUGUCCACUGAAAGUUGACUAGCAACAACAACUGGAACCUAAGACACCCACCAUGAGCACCCACUAAAUUUGCAGAAGAGGCAAUUGUUACGGAUACAGGUAUCCUGUGUGUGUGUGUAUCCUGUGUUUGCUCUCCAUCUCCCCUCACAGGUGAAAAUCAUCACUCCCCAAUCAGUCACCAAUCAAUCAUCAAUCAGAAGACACACCUCCUCCUGUUUUCCUACCCCAUCACAGUUCCUUUCCCUUGGUUUAAAAACCCUGUCAGUUGUUUGUUCUAGAGCUCAAUCUCUCUCUGUAAAUGCCAUGUCUGUAGGUCUCUGUUUCACUCUCUCGUUGUGUAUUAACCUCUCUUUUGUUUGAGCACCUCCAUCGCACUUUGUCAUCACCUGUGAGUAUUGUUUUGGUUAUGGUGUUUGUUUGAUUUCUGGUGGGAAAAGGGGAAACCAAGACAAGUUGCCCAUGGGCAUACACUACCCGUAGGUAGACUUUGUUAAAUACACUAGUUAGAACUGGGCGGACCACCCACUUUAUUUUUGGUUAGUUAGUUAGCUGUUGUUAAAGUAGUCUAGCUUAGGUUUUUUUGAAUACUUAUUGUUUCUUUCCUUGGGUCCAGCUCAGCCCCUUUUCCUGCUCCCCCCAUUACCGUGUGUUUUCAAAUAAACCCAGAGUUUGACGGUA